rnacentral:rRNA from 1 species
AGAACGAACGCUGGCGGCAGGCUUAACACAUGCAAGUCGAGCGCCCUCUUCGGAGGGAGCGGCGGACGGGUGAGUAACGCGUGGGAACGUGCCCUUUUCUCUGGAAUAGCCUCGGGAAACUGAGAUUAAUGCCGGAUACGCCCGCUCAUGGGGACAUGGGAUGGGGAAAGAUUUAUCGGAGAAGGAUCGGCCCGCGUUGGAUUAGGUAGUUGGUGGGGUAACGGCCUACCAAGCCUACGAUCCAUAGCUGGUUUGAGAGGAUGAUCAGCCACACUGGGACUGAGACACGGCCCAGACUCCUACGGGAGGCAGCAGUGGGGAAUCUUGGACAAUGGGGGCAACCCUGAUCCAGCCAUGCCGCGUGAUCGAUGAAGGCCCUAGGGUUGUAAAGAUCUUUCAGCGGGGAAGAUAAUGACGGUACCCGCAGAAGAAGCCCCGGCUAACUCCGUGCCAGCAGCCGC